CCCCGGUGCAGUCUCACCUCCCGGAAUGCAGAACCUAAAGGCAGAUCCAGAAGAGCUUUUUACAAAAGUAGAGAAAAUUGGGAAGGGCUCCUUAGGCGAGGUGUUCAAAGGCAUUGACAACUGGACUCAGAAAGUGGUUGCCAUAAAAAUCAUUGAUCUGGAAGAAGCUGAAGAUGAGAUAGAGGACAUUCAACAAGAAAUCACAGUGCUAACUCAGUGUGACAGUCCAUAUGUAACCAAAUAUUAUGGAUCCUAUCUAAAGGAUGCAAAAUUAUAGAUAACAAUGGAAUAUCUUGAUGGAGGCACUAAAUCUAUUAGAACCUGGCCCAUUAGAUGAAACCCAGAUCAGUACUAUAUUAAGAGAAAUAUUGAAAGGACUUGAUUAUCUCCAUUCGGAGAAGAAAAUCCACAGAUUAAAGCGGCCAACGUCCUGCUGUCUGAGCAUGGCAAGGUGAAGCUGGUGGACUUUGGUGUGGCCAGCCAGCAGACGGACAUCCAGAUCAAAAGGAACACCUCCGUGGGCACCCCGUUCUGGAUGGCACCCAAGGUCAUCAAACAGUCGGCCUACGACUCGAAGGCAGACAUCUGGUCUCUAGGCAUACAGCUAAUGAACUUGCAAAAGGGGAACCACCUCAUUCCGGGCUGCACCCCAUGAAAGUUUUAUUCCUCAUUCCAAAGAACAACCCACCAGCGUUGGGAGGAAAUUACACAAACCCCUCAAGGAGUUUGUGGAGGCCUAUUUGAAUAAGAAAAUGAGCUUUAAACCCACUGCUAAGGAGUUAUUGAUGCACAAGUUUAUACUACGAAAUGCAAAGAAAGCUUCCUACUUGACCGAGCUCAUCGACAGCCACAAGAGAUGGAAGGCCGAGCAGAGCCACGAAAACUCGAGCUCUGAGGAUUCCGACGCAGAAACAGAUGGCCAAGCCUUAGGCAGCAGCGAUUCUGGGAACUGGAUCUUCACAAUCCGAGAAAAAGAUCCCAAGAAUCUCGAGAAUGGAGCUCUUCAGCAGUCGGACUUAGACAGAAAUAAGAUAGAAGACAUCCCAAAGAGGCCUUUCUCUCAGUGUUUAUCUACAAUUAUUUCUCCUCUGUUUGCAGAGUUGAAGGAAAAGAUCCAGGCGUGCAGAGGGAACUUGGGAUCCAUUGAAAAGCUGCGAGGGGCCAUCUACCUGGCGGAGGAAGCGUGCCCCGGCAUCACAGACACCAUAGUGACCCAGCUAGUGCAGCGGCUCCAGAAAUAUUCACUAAGUGGUGGAGGAACUUCAUCCCACUGAAAUUCCUUUGUCAUUUGGAGUUUUGUUUUGCCUUUUUCUUCUUCAUCCUCCUCCUUUUUUAAAGUCAACGAGAGCCUUCACUGACUCCACUGAAGAGAUGUGCCACUGGAGACCACCCCAACGUGGGCGCCUGUCCAGGGACACAUACAGUCCUCACUGUGCUGCAGCCAGAUGAAGUCUCUCAGAUGAAUGGGAGGGUCAGCUGUUUUCAGCG